AAAACACGUAGAGAAAGUGUGAGGGCAGUGCGAAGCCUGUGAAGGCUGUUUGGCACGCUCGCCGCUUUCCUCGUUCUCCUUGUGCAUUACCGCAUUCGCAUCGUGUGGCGGCACCUCUUCCGACCUGCCAGCCUUCUAUCUGUCUCUGCGUACGAUGUCUGCCCCACUCGACAUUCGCGGCGCGGCGGCGACCUCCGCGGGCAGGCCCGGGGAGACAGUGGCGCCACCCACAACGGCCACUGGCCGCCCACACACAGAGGUGAUGGCCGGCGGCUCGCAACCUCACCGCAAGCGACCUCGGCAAGGCGUUCUCGUCGAUCCCCUCUCUCGUGAGAUUUAUCAGAUGGUGGUGCGCCAGCUUCACCACGACGGGUUUCUGGCCGCUGCUUCUGCCGUCUGUGACGCCACCGGGGUCGUGGUGGGUAACGUGGAGGAUGAAGGCGACCGCCUCGCACGCGUCGUGGCGGCGGGACUAAGUGUCAAUGAAAUGGAGCGGCGUGCUGAGGAGGAGUUUCAAUUCACGCAGGUGGUGGAACGCUUUCUGAGCGCAUCGAAACUGUACAUGCCGCUGUCGUUGUCCAGCCGCUGGUUGGUGGGACGUCGAUGCUUGCGGAUGCGAGAGCGCUUCAUGUCAGCUUCUCUCGGCGGCGUUGUGCGAGACAUUUCUUUUUCUCCAGAUGGCGCCUACGUUGCGUGCGCCGGCACUAACGGACUUGCGGCCAUUUUUUCACUGGAGACGAUUGAGGAUUUAAGCGCACUGGACGAGGCGCGUGCUGCGAACCGCGCGAGGGCGCUUGAUGGCAGCCGUGACGCUGGAAGCUUCGGCAGUGGUGAGACCGCUCCUAAAGGGUCCGCUAUCCGCAAUGCCAACGAGGUAACGGAGCUUGCGAUGGUGCGGCGCUUUCACGAGCAUACGCAGUCAGUCGAGGUGAUGCGCUUCCACCCCACGAAACCAAUUGUGCUCUCUGGCGGACGCGAAGGCAUUCUUUACUUGCGAAACUACGCUUAUCCUGACUCGAAGGUGGUGCUGAAGAUUCACGACACCGUCCCCAUUCGCGACGCUUCUUUUCACCCGUCUGGCGAGUACAUUGUUGUGGCAGCAAAUCACCAUCUGCCUCGGCUGAUCAACGUACGCACGGAGAAGGUGCUCACGCCGCCUGGGACCUACGCGUCCUCGACUGCCCACACAGGGCCACAAUGGGAGAGCGAAGAUAGCGGCUCUACAGCUACCUCGUACCGGCCCACCGACCGUGGGGCACAGCACAGCGCGGCGCUGUCGUCGGUUUGCUUUGCUCCUGACGGGCGUACCAUGAUGAGCACAAGCCUUGAUGGUACCUGGAUGCUUUACGACGGCGUGAGCGGGCGCGUGAUCUACCGUGCUGAGAGCGCGCAUUCUGGCGUGCCUGUCACAAGCGUCGUGUACAGCCGAACAGGCAACGUUGUGCUAACGGCGGGUAUGGACUCUACGGCACGCCUGUGGGACCUUAGGCGGCUCCAUGCAACGUCGCGCAACUACCAAAGCCCAGAGGUAACCUCUUUCGGCGAGCCCACCAAGUGUGAAUGCCGCAGCAUACGGGCCGUGUUCUCCGCCAACGAAAGCCACGUGCAUUGCCACGACUCUACUCUUCUCGCUGUGCACAGCUACUGCGUGUACACUGGGGCGGUGGACUGCACUGUGACAACACAGCCGAGCUUUAUGCAAAGGGGGCUUGCCGCCAGCCCGUGGGCCAACUGUAUUGUCACAGGAGGUGACGACAGUCGACUGCGUCUGUGGACCCCAGCGUGGCUUCCAUCUUGAGGAAGCGUGUGUGUAUGUGUGUGCGCGUUUGUGCUUGUGUUGAUGUCGCUGUCUAUGUUUGUGUGCGUGAUCGGGCAGGUGGGAGGGUACACAGGCGAUGGCUACCAGCACUUCGCCUUGAACGUUAAUGGAUACGAUUGCGUACCGGAGGACAGCACCGCGCAAAGAAAAGAGACGAUGCGAAUGAAACAAAGGGGGGGGGACGCCUGGUGCAAUGGAAGACGGUGGGGUGGGGUGGGGGGCGGCAGACCCUUUCUUGUGACUCCCAACGCGCAUGGCGUCGGCAGAGACGACCCCGAUUUGUUUCGCUCUGCCACGCAUGGUGUUCGUGGGUGCUCGAGAAAACGCAAGGAUCCGUAGCAUCAACAACGAAGGCGGAUCAGAAGAGUGUUUCCAUACUCUUUCAGCUAGCUGCCUUCCUCUCUCUUCGGACAUCGGCAUACCUGUUUCGCGCUACUACUGGUGAUGCUGGAGAGGACUGCGAUCGAGGAAGGGUGAAAAGGGAGAGAGAAGCGGCUAGUAAAAAAGAGGGACGUGACCAAGUAAUGGAGCGCUGCCACAGGGGAAGGCCACGCACGUAUCACUUAGAAACACGCGCACGCGUCGUCUCUUUCUUCCCCUAUUUUCGUUUGCGGUAGCGCACCGCUUUUAUCGGUCCUGUUCCCUCAUGCCGGCCAACCUUCAGUUUUUCAUGCCUCCUACCUCCGCUUCCCUUCUAUCUCCUUGGCACUCCGCCUCUCUCGAUGCGCACCGGCACACCGGCACACACACCAUCGUGUGCAAAG
rnacentral:misc_RNA from 1 species